AAAUUGAAGAGUUUGAUCAUGGCUCAGAUUGAACGCUGGCGGCAGGCCUAACACAUGCAAGUCGAACGGUAACAGAAAGCAGCUUGCUGCUUUGCUGACGAGUGGCGGACGGGUGAGUAAUGUCUGGGAAACUGCCCGAUGGAGGGGGAUAACUACUGGAAACGGUAGCUAAUACCGCAUAACGUCGCAAGACCAAAGAGGGGGACCUUCGGGCCUCUUGCCAUCGGAUGUGCCCAGAUGGGAUUAGCUAGUAGGUGGGGUAAAGGCUCACCUAGGCGACGAUCCCUAGCUGGUCUGAGAGGAUGACCAGCCACACUGGAACUGAGA
rnacentral:rRNA from 1 species